UACGAGGGGGGCGAGCGUUGUUCGGAAUCACUGGGCGUAAAGCGCACGCAGGCGGAUUGAUAAGUCAGGGGUGAAAUCCCGGGGCUCAACCUCGGAAUUGCCUUUGAUACUGUCUGUCUUGAGUUCGGGAGAGGUUGGCGGAAUUCCUAGUGUAGAGGUGAAAUUCGUAGAUAUUAGGAAGAACACCAGUGGCGAAGGCGGCCAACUGGCCCGGAUACUGACGCUCAUGUGCGAAAGCGUGGGGAAGCAAAC
rnacentral:rRNA from 1 species